rnacentral:sRNA from 1 species
UCAGUCUCAAGCUCAAGGCAUGAUGGGAAACUCUGAGGGAGAAAUGUGGGCCCCAUGGGACCCUACCCUUUGCCCUCCGCAAUCCAGUUCCCCCUCCAUCCCCAGCCCAGUCCAGCAAGCCCAGCUACACCUACGGUCCUCUCCCCAGGAGCUGGAGCGCCAGGCCUUAGCCAAACACGUCAGGGCAGAGGCCCUGAGCUCCACCCUUCGGCUGGCCCAAGACGAGGCCCUGCGGGCCAAGAACCUACUGCUAACAGACAAGAUGAAGCCGGAGUGAGGAAGGAGGCUGAGGGCGUGGGAGGAGGGUGAGAUCUUGGGGAAAGGGCCUGAUCUCCCCUUCCACUCCAACACCCCAGCACCUAGCCAUGCCGGCAUCAACUCCCCGCUGCCUCAUGACAGGGAGAAGAUGGCCACUCUGGACCAUCUACACUUGAAGAUGUGCUCCCUCCACGAUCAUCUCAGCAACCUGCCACUUGAGGGGUCCACGGGAACAAUGGGGGGAGGCAGCAGUGCAGGAACCCCCCCAAAACAUGGGGGCUCAGCCCCUGAACAAUAAAUAGCCUCUCAUGCUGGCAUGAA